UGAACAGUGAGCAGAGGCAGCCACAGCAGCGAGCCGAGCAGUGAGCAGUGUUGUCAGCUGUCACCACCUACGGUCCCGUGCUCGCUCCUGCUCCGUGUAGCCAGCGUUUUUUUUCACCGAGUGUGGCCGUCUAGUCGUCAAAAUGGCAAGCGGAGGACAACAAGUGGAAUUACCGUGGUGGCAGAAAUACCUAGCCCGAGGAGUGGGCUGCGGGGGAGGCGUUAUUGCACUGGGCCUGGGGCUGUUCAACUGCAUCAGCUUUUCUGCCUGGUGUAUUGUAGGUGGAAUAUGGCAAAUGGUGGCAGCUUUCAUUGUAAUAUCUGCUGAGGCUCCCUGUUGUUGCAUGUUUGUGGAUUUCGUACAGCGUUACUCAAUGUGGGUGGAUUCUCGUCCACACUGGCAAAAAUCUGUCUUCUAUGUUGUCCUGGCCAUCCCUCCUUUCACUAUGUGCUUCUCAGUGUCCAUAUUCCUUGGCUCCGGGCUGAUCUUCCUGUGUGGAGUGCUGUACGGCCUCAUGGCUCUCGGCAAAAAGGGGAGCCGCGAGGACAUGAUGGCUGCCGCACACCACCAAUCGGGGAUGACCACCUCCCAGAGUGCCAUCCUGGUCGAUGAUCCGGAGGCCUGGCGAUCCACGUGAACCGGUCGGGGCUGUAGUAACACCCAUCAUCCACCACCACCACCAUUUUGAUAACUUCACAUGUUGAGGCUCCCGGGAGGACAUGAUUGCUGCAGCCCAGAACUCUGGCAGACCCGGUGGAAUGAAGGACAACCUGGUGGAUGGCGGCUCAAGUCCCCCAGCCUAAAUCUCCUCUCUGCCACUUAAUGUCACCCAAUCUGGAAGAGCUGAUAUACCAGUGAUCAUCAUACUGCAGGAUGGAACUUUUCUGUCUUAUCAAACUGUUUAGAUGUAACAUUCAAUUGAAGUUCUGAUGACAACACAUGUUGGGAUCUGGCCUCUUGUAGGUGAUGUAAGAAUUGCUUGAGUGUCUAGUAGUUUAAAUGAAUGGCUGAAGAUUGAAUAACUAUUUUUUGUGAGCCAGUAACUGAAGGGAUAAAUUUAAAUUUUAAAGUGUUACAUGUUUAUUUUUAUGGGCCAAUGAGUGACUAUUAAUUUUAAAUUACCUAUUUUCUGAAGUAUUUUGUUGUAUUGUCUCUAGUAAUUCCCCCUCCCACAACAGAAUUGCUGUGAGAAUGGAAAAUUUUGCAAUUCUUCUCUUUGCAUAUACUCAUUACUUUUUAUUUGUGUUUUGUCAUAUUUCUUCUGUAUCAUUUUACCCUGUCUGGUAUAUUCACUGAUGACCUCCCCCAUCUCUGACCUUUUAACUUAUAUACCAUGUUAGGGAUGUAUUGAUAAUAAAUUUUUUUUCAAAAUGGACAUAUUCUAUUGAACUGGUAUCAACAAUGCAAUAUACUCUCAAAAUGAGGAUGUUAGUACUAAUACUUAAACUGAUACUGUUGCAAAACUUUUGACUAGUAGAACAUUCUGAAGAAUUAUGACUCAUUCAGUAAAUUGUACUCAAUUUUAAGCAUGACCAAGCUGCCAAGAAAAGCCCCACAUCAUCACAAGUAUCAGUUCAUCACACAGAUAUAUAUAUAUAUAUAUAUAUAUAUAUAUAUAUAUAUAUAUAUAUAUAUAUAUAUAUAUAUAUAUAUAUAUAUAUAUAUAUAUAUAUAUAUUCUAACAUAGAUGCAGCAAGAAAUAUACCUGUGUCCAUUAUAUUGGCAAAAGGGGAAGCAGCAUAACCACAUUGAUGAGUUAGCUAUAACCAACAAACUCAGAAAUGUACAUUAUAGAGCCCUUAGUUCCUCUCGUUGGGCUCGUUAGGACAAGGAUUACACACUACCAAGACUCUAGUUUUCCCAGGCCUCAUUCAGUGAGAUUUCUGGUGUAUUGUGUAAACAGGAUGAUUGUAUAUUGCAUCUGCUAUUUGUUAUGUAGGUAUUGAGCUCAAUCUUGUCCACAUGAAUGCCAUGCACUCAGCUUAUAAACUUGAACUGGUAAUGAGUCAGGUCUCUAAUUUAUUGGAUGUACUAUAGCAGUAUAAAAUUAACAGCCUUAUGAUAUAAUGCUUUUAUAAGUGGCAAAUUUAUUAUGUGCAAUGAAGUGCAAUGGAAAGAAAAAUUCUGAUUGCCAGUAGUAUUUUUUUUUUUUUUUUUUUCCAGGAGUAUGUAUUGCAGAUAUCAGUAAUCCAUGAAAUAACCUGGUACCACUGACGAUAGUACUUAUACAUUGGUACAUCCCUAAUACACACACACACACACACACACACACACACACACACACACACACACACACACACACACACACACACACACACACACACACACACACACACACACACACACACACACACACACACACACACAAACAGAUUGCAGUAGACCCUUAUAGGCAAGACUAUGUUUUCAAGCCUGACUGCUGCUCCACACUGCCACCUGCCCAUUAUAUUCUUAAGCUGCAGAAGUUUUGAUAACCUUAUGUCAGUCCCCUGGCAUGGAGAAGUGAGGAGAAAGGACCAGGAACAACAGUGGAAGGCUUGAGGUUCUGCUGUAGUUUGUGUGCAUUUGAGCUGUAGAUCAAAGUUUUCCAUGAAUUAUCAUGAAUUCUUAAAGGAUGUAAGAUAGGUAAAGAAUCGUCAUAUGAUAAUGUUGAAUUAGUUGUAUGAAUUGAUAUAGGUGGACCAUAUUGUAUGUAGUCAAGAGAAAUAAGUCAGAUUUCUUAAUUAAAUCAUUCUCUCAUUAGAGAAAAAUAACAUUCAAACAUGGCAUGGACACUGACACUUUGUUGUAAACUGCACACCAGUAAAAACAAACACUGUGCCUCAUAACCAAUUAAAUAUGAUAAGUAGACAAACAAACAAACAUUCCAUAUAUCAUUUGGUUUAAUUGAUAUGGAAAUAUCAGAAAUAGUGAAAAAUGUCUUGUGUGUGCUCCUCAUCAAUGUCAGAAGGCAAAGUAUUAGGAAUUGUGUUUAAUGGUCUCUGAAAUUUUAAGUGUGUGACAGGAUAGUAUAAGUGUAUUGUUCUGUGUAGCUAUAAUCAGAGGUAUAAUAGAUGGAGUGUGGGGAAAGCAAAGAAAAUGUAGUACUGCAACUUGUGGUGUUCAUAGGAGAGACUAAUUUCCUUAUAUAGUUUAUUUUCCUUUAUUUUUUCCUUGUCUUAAGAUUCACAGCUUGUGAUUAUUAGUCCAUGUUACCAAGUAUUUAUGGGCACCAGUAGAUGGAGCAUUGGUAAUUAGUGUUUUCAUUUGACAUCUUUAGGAAGCACAUGAUGGUAGGAAGUAACAUGUGAAAACAUUUAAUGCUAUACACAAACCAACUGUCUGCAUUUCAUGAUUUGUAUAAUGCUCCCUCCUCACUCGACCCUGUGAUAGUGAAGGGCAUUUUAAAAGGAAACGGCCAAUUCCAACUGAUGACCUUACCUAAUAUGAAGGUGCAGUGUGUAUGUAUAAUCUGAGAGUAAAACUAGGCUAGUGAAAUGACACUCAAGACCUCUUGGUUUGAUAAAACGAGAAUCAAGGUGCAUAAGGUCAUGGAAGAUUUAUUUAUUUAUGAACAGUGUCUAUUGAAGCAUGAUUUUGCCUCAGUCUCACACAUUGCAUUCAUUCAAAUGUUAUGUUAUUAGGUGGUGCUGAGUUUGAUUAAAAAGUACCCAUCAUUGCUGGGAAUUGAGAAAGAAAAGAAGCACCAGAAGAAUCAUGAGGCAUGACUAGUUUGUGCAAACAGUAUUGAAUGUUUUGUCAUGGUACAGUGUGCACUCUCUGGUGGUGAGAGGCCACCUUUAUGUUCUCACUCCAUGAUCAAGUCGAUUAAAAAAAAAAAAAAAAAAACUAAGAUUAUUUAAGUAUUCCUGGAACACCACAAUAAACAUAUCAUAGUUAGAGACAUAUGAAAUAUAUACUAUACACAUAUGAAACUCUUGAUGUUGUAAUCAUAAUUUGUUGAAGGUAAAAAUUGAUGGUUUGUGAAUGAAAAUGAUGAUCAAAACACACUUGACCAUAGACAUUGUUAUUGUAGUUGUAAAUGAUAUGUUAUGAUACUAUGAAAUUAUUGAGUUUGUUCAGCAUCAGUGCCACUCUUCAAAUGUCAAACACUGUACUUCAAUAUAAUACUAACAUGAGUUUUAAUACUGAAAACGUCUCACAUUAACUAAAGUCAUCUUAGAUUAUGUAGUUUUCAAAAGUAAAUAAAGCAAGUGUGUUUUGUAUCAGCACUACAUUCAACAUCAUCUUUCUAAAAAUAACUUUUAUUGGAGGUUUGACUGAUUUUAUGUUAUCUAUUGGUGGCCAUAUCCUAUUGGAGUGAAAGAUGGAUGUGUCCACCUCUCAUAGUCAUCAUCUGCUUUUUUUCUGCAUACUCCUUCAUUCACUCAUGAGAGGAAGAGAAGGAGAGAGAGAGAGAGAGAGAGAGAAUGCUGAUGACGAUUUGGGAGGUGGCUAAUAAUAACCAUUGCUCGCUCUACUUGACCUUUGCUCUCAUAUGUUACUUAUAUCAGCUCACUUAUUUAAGGAUAUUGUGUUUAUUUGCUACUGCACUGUAUAUGUACUUGAUGUAUGAAGACUAGUCCCUCAUGUAUGUAAAGGCAAAGCAGCACAGCAUCAGCUAGGUGUGACACUUAGGAAAAAGGGAAAGUAAUCACUGUUUUAGCAAAGUAAGUCCUCGAGAGAUUUCUUUUCUUUUGCUCGUAGAAGAAAAUGUAUUGGAACUGUAUUGGAUAUCUACUUCUGCAAUAUUGAAAAGGUAUAAAUAAUGCAGAGGUGCAUCCACAGUUGUGAUUGACAUCCACAUUCAAAAGUUAAUUAUGCAUAUCUCCUUCCUCAUUUCCAUUCACAUCGUAAUCACACACAUACACACACACCUGCACUUUUUUUUUUCAUGCUUACCUUCUUCAGCCAAAAGUAUCUUGAAGUCUUUGAAUUAUACUUUUGUUCAUAUCAUUGUUUGAUUUGGAAAGUAGCUGCCUUGAUUUGUUUCUUUGCAAUAUUACAUGUGUAAUGUGUUGAAAUGGAUAUAUUUACUUUGAUAUAUUCCAUGUGCUUUGAGAAUCAGGAAAAAAAAUUAAUAUGAGGAUACUUGAGAUGAAUUUGAAAGUAAAGCUGCAGAAUAGAAGAAAAUGGCUUAAGAGCAAAAAAAAGUAAAUUAUAGUAAAAGAGAAAAGAAAAAAGAAACACUGAUAUUUUUAUUCAUUUAGGAGUGAAGUAUGUAUGCUAGCUUGAUACUUAAUGUUAACUUCCAAGUCCUCCACCAAUGAGGUGACAAAUGUCCUGACCCACACCACCACUAGUGUCAGGAUGUAUGGUGCCCAAAGUGACCCAGAAUAAUGCCCCUGAUGGACUGCUGGGCCUUGUUUCUAGUGUUUCUUUCUUUCUUUCUUUAUUUAUUUAUUUAUUUAUUUUUUUUUUUUGGUUUUCAUCUUAAGUGGUCUAGUGUGUUGCAGGAACUUGUAUUGUGCUUCAUUACCCUUUGUUAGGAAUGUGGUGUCUGUAAUUAUGAGGUAGCUCACAUUUUCUUCAUUGGUAAGAAUAAGUUUUAAGUAUAUGGUUUAACCAUUUAAUAUACGUAUAUUGACUGUUUGUAUAAUUUUUUUUUUUUAUUAUUAAAAUUUACCUAAACUAUCAUUAUAUUAUAUUGCUACCUUGUCCCUAAGUUAUGAAGGAUGAAGUUAACAUUUGUCUUCUUCAUCCCUAAUGUAAUGUAAUUGUUCUCAUCAAACCAUCAAGGAAGUUAUGGUCUGGCUGAAAGUAAUUUCAUUUCAGAUUAUUCUUUCCACAAGUUCAUAGGUGCAGAAUACUAAAUUAAAUGUCAAAAAUGCUGCUGCUGUAGUGGUACAAUUAUAAGAAAUUUGGGUGCAUCAUUUAUUGCAACUAGAACUCUUCAUUCAUUCCAGUUACAAGUGAAUAGCAUCAGUGAUUUGUACUUACAUUUAAUAGUGUUAGCUUCUUUAGUUUGUGGUAUGUGAACAUGAUUUAUUGUGUACAAUUAAAAACUAGCAUGGGAAUUUUUAUCUUUACAUGAUUCAAAUCUUUCAUUUGGCUGGGCUUCUCCUGUGGCCAGAGUUUUCCCUGCCAAAAUGUUUCCUUUAAACCACUAGCAGUGUUUUGAUUGAAGCUACUUGUAUUAACCAACAUAUAUGCAUGUGUCUUCAAAUCCUCUGAACUUAAUAAGGUAUAUGUUAUUUAUUGUAUUUUUUGUUCACCUAUUCUGAGCAAAUUCUAAUAUGGGUAGACAUGGAAAACCAAGUUAAUAUUGUGUAGGUAGUUGAAAAAAGUUAAAACCUCUGUGUCAUGUGUCAGCCAUCCACACAGAAUAGCAGCUCACUGGUAUCAUCCAAAGCUCAAGUGAUGCAAGACAACUGGUGGCCAUGUUCACUCUUGAGAUCAGUGUUGUGUUGGCCAUGACACUACAUAAGUUGUUUGUAGUUUCCAGAUGGCUUAGAACAUUAUGACUUCAGGCCCCAAGUCUCUGUAGUUUUCAGAGUAAUCUUGAAACAUCGUAUAGUUAAAAGUUGUUUGUUUAUGACUAGAUGAUGGAAUGAGUUAAGGAUGUAGUUGCUCUUCUAUAACACACACACACACACACACACACACACACACACACACACAUGCACAUGCACUAGAAAACCCAGUAUCCUAACAUCUAGAGGAUAAAGAUAUGCAGAAGUGCAGUUUUCAAAUAGAGCAAUAGAUAUAAUGCAUUACAAAGAAAGUGAUGCAUGUCAGCUAUAUGCAUGAAUUUAACAAUGAUAAAUUGGGUCUCAAAUAAAGUAUAGUUAGUUUGACAAUCUCAUAUAAAUGGAUAAACAUGCACAGAACUGCUAAUUUCUGGUCUGUCAAGGAAUAAGCCCUGAAAUUCUCAACUGAAACUAAAUGUGAGCCAAAAUAAACCAAUGAUGAAUAGUAAUCAGUUUUAUAUUGGGUUUAAACUGAAACUUUAUGAAACAAAUGGAAGAAUGAGCACAUCCUGAAAGCACCCAUGUGCUGAAUGUGAAUAAAUCAGCUGACAUCAUUACUGGUUGUGGUACCCAAACAAUUAAGUAUUUCAUAAUGCAAUGAGUACAACCUCUGUAUUCAUAUUGCUGUCUAAGAUGUAUUUUUUUAUUUCAUCUAUAUAUAAUGUGUUGUAUUUUUCUACAACCGUAUUCCUUAGUUUAAGCAACUGAAAACAUCAAAAUUCUAUUGACAUCACUAUCUAUUUUAUGAUUAUGUUAUUGUGUAAGAUUGUAGGAAAUGAAAAGUAUGAUGUAACUUAAGAUAUUCUUAUUUUUUUCAUAAGAUGAAGAUUCUCUCUCUCUCUCUCUCUCUCUCUCUCUCUCUCUCUCUCUCUCUCUCUCUCUCUCUCUCUCUCUCUCUCUCUCUCUCUCUCUCUCUCUCUCUCUCUCUCUCUCUCUCUCUCUCUCUCUCUCUCUCUCUCUCUCUCUCUCUCUACUCUCUCUCUCACCUUUUUCAUUUGUACACUAAUGGCCUAUAACUAUGAAUCAUUGUAAGAGUUCUUCCUGAGUGCUUAAAAUUUCACAUGAUCACAGGUGAAAUCCUAAAAGGCUACAUUUCUUUUCUUCAAAUAUUGCAGAACAUUCUUGGAAGACCUGCUACAUACAUCAUCUAGCAGGCAGUGCAGAUUUAAGUGUACAGUGAACAUGCUGAACAUAACUUUUGUAUGCAUACAUUCAUUUGUAUGUAUUUUUCACCUUAGAAGGUUAUCAAGAUGCACCCAAAGAAUUCAGAGCAAAGAAAAAAACUUAAAAUGUGUAAACACUUUUAACAAAAUGUACUAUUCUCUGAUUCAUGUGAGGUUAGUAAGAUAGUGUGAACACCACGGAGGUUGGUAAGUACUCGGGGAUGUUUCUGUAAGUAGAUGACAAAAUAUGAUUGAAAUUGAAUGGAUGAACUUGAUGAGAUUUAGAAGAGUUUGUUUUUAAGUAAAUGAUUACAUUUAUUUAUUUAUUUUAAAGUAGUCAUAUAUUUUGAAGUUUGAAACAUUUUUUAUUUAUUUAUUUUUUCUUUGACAAGAAAGUCAAACAAUGUAUCACACUAUAAGAAGCUUCAAAAUGUAAUUGAAUCAUACCCCAAGACUGUAAUGAUUUCCCCCCUUCAUGGAUAUGGUGGCUGAUAAGGUCUUCAACAUUAAUGAAAAAGGAAGGAAUAUUAUUGAUUUGCACAAUGUAGGUAAACUAACUUUGAGAAUGUAAGGAAUUCAUUGUUCAAGAUAAAAUCAUUAACAUGUUAACAGUAAAUUGGGAAUUCACAUUUGCAUAAUUUCUUCAUUAUACAUAUAUUGUAAUGCUUCAUCAUAUUAGUGUUGCUAAGUGAUAAAUGUUGAAUGUGUGUCAGUAUGCCCUAUACACCUUAGUUGUGGGGUCUUUAAGUAGUAGUCAUUUACUUGUAGUCUUCCUUGGUUUUCCUAUACAGUAUUCAUAAUCUUACUUAGUACUGUAAAAUGUCUAAAUUUCUUCCAUCAAGUAACAUUUGGGCUUAGUGGAGCAAGGGAUGAACAGGCUUUUAGUGACUAUUUGUAGUUACUACUUUUACUUGGUAUGUUGUGAAGCACCUUAACAUUGUGCACUCAGAUCUUUGAAACAAUAACCAUGUAAUGUAUGUAUGUCAGAUAAAAAGGUGAAUGGGCAAGUUGUUGUGUUUGUGUGCAUUAGCUGCAUUAGAUGUAUUUAGUUUGCUGUACACAUUGUAUCCUCAUAAGAGUCUUUGGUGUCACCUUUGAGUGGCCCCUGAAGUGUCGUGUGGCAUUGAGAAGUGAGAUGGUGAUGCUGCAAUGGAAGUACAGUAUGGUUAUGGAAGAUGUUCUUCAUUCAAGAUUAUGUUUCAAAUGACAAGUAAUAUUUCAAAUAAUAAGCUGAGGAAUGUGUAGCAAUUUUGUGUGCAUAUGCAAUUUAGUUAAGACAUGAAGCUAUUUAUUGGUUGAUAUUAUAUUCAUAGCAUGAUGUUUUGGGAAAACUAUCACUGGAACUAAUCACUGACGUGGAUGUACAAAUUGCUAAUGGUAAGGAUUUCAAUGUGGCACUUCAAGAUAUCAGAUUCAACAGAUUUUUGUCUUAUGAGGACAAAGUGACUAUUUUGGCAAUUGGCUUAAGGAAUCUUUCUUUCAGCAUCCAGUUAUAUGAAAUGAUAUUAAAAUGCCUGCAAAUUAAUGUUGUUGUGUUUUAAGAUUAAUGUAUUUGUAUGAUUAGAGCUUGAAAAAAAUAUUCAAUGUUUUUUUUGGGAGGAGGGAUGACCAAAGUACUCCAGUCAGUGUUAGCAGUGCUAGAGGAAACUAUUUCCUAGUUUUAUUGAUUUGUGUUUACUUUUUAAUUUCAAUUGUUUAUUACCACAAUUCACUUAGACUUUAGAAUGAUGCCAUUCCAAAGGUCUUUUUCAGAGUUGAUAGCAAUUUGUCCAUCUCAGAAGUUUCAUUCAGGGAACAGCACUUAAUAAACAAUGUGAUUACUACAGAUGCUAAUAUGAUUAAUAUUGUGGUUGUAUGUUAUAUUUACAUUUUUUUCCCUGCAGCAAUAUACUAAUAAUUAUCUAUCAAUCUGCAAAGCUUGCAAACCUUCAUCAAAAUUUUCAUUCAUGCAAUCAUAAGUAUCUUUUCCUAUCAUUGACCACUUCUUGAACUUUUGAAGAAAGAUUUUAUUAUAUAGAAUUCUUCUAAGUUUAAUGUGUCUUCAUGCAGUUUUGCUUUAAGACUCUAAGGAAGUUUAUUUUCUUAAUGAUGUGAGUUUCAACAUUUUGCUAUUUUGCCUUCUAUAUAUGUUCAUAUUUAACUGAAUAUACUGUCUUUGUAAACAUACAGCACCAUGAUUAUUACAGUGAUAUGAUAAUGCAUUCCAAGAUCACAUUUAACUAUAUAGUACUUGUUUUGCAGCUACAACCAGUAUAGAAACUGCUGUAUCUUUUCAAUGUGUAUUGAUUUGAGUCUUCAAGAGGCAAAUUUAAUGAGCAGUUAAAAUCUGUAUCAGCAAAUGGUUGCCCAUACAAAUUGGAGUGUAUCUUAAUUUCCUUUACUUUUUUCUUAAUCUUUGGUUGCCUGUGACUCAAGGAUGGUAUGCUGUCUUACUGUAGAGCCUGGAAGUAAUGUAAAAUAAUGUACAUUUAUGUAACCUUCGUAUUUGUGUAAAUAAUUUGUUAUUGGACAUAAAGGGAAUUCAUGU